UCAAAGCAAGUGGGAGAAAACAAAUAAGUUCAGGGACUGUGAAGUGGAUUUUGAGCAAAACUUUGUUCAGUUCUGUUCAGCAGUUUGUUGUACCUUGAAAACAUUAGGAAUUUGUGCAAAUCAUUCUUCAGAUUGUGAUAGCUUUUGCUCAUUUAUUCAUGUGGUGUAGAUUGAGCAGCUGAAUCAGAGAAGAGGGAAUGGGAUCUGCAUGUCUCAUUGUCAGAUUUCUUAAUGAAACAAUUUUUGUGUGGCAGAAGUCAUAUUUUUAACAGCUUGGGAUGCAAGACAGAAGCUGUGGUGUCAAUAAGUCAAUGAUAUUCUAUGUUUAAGGGUGGAAGAAACAUUUUGCUUUUCCCAGACCACGAGAAUUGAUGAAAUAUUAAUUCAGUGCCUGACUUCCCUACUUGACUGAAGUGUAUAUCAGUUCACUGCAGUUAGAGAGGUAUGGCAGCUUCAAACUAUAAUUCUUUCCUGGUACCCUCAGGAGCAGAGUGUGUUUUUCAAUGUCCAUUAGAAAGUGAAGCUGAGUCUCAGGGUAUGAAGCAGUUGAUUUUCUUGGUCCAAGAAAGACAUCAUCCUGGCCAGUCUUGCUGCUAAUCUGAUGAUCUGUACCUCUGCAUGUAAGUUUGAGAGCUGGAUUUACCCAUACAACAUAAGUUAUCUACAGUUCUCGAUAUAUUCCUUUUGUUAGAAAUGCCAUUAUCCACUGAAGAUGCCAAACUGCAUAUCCCAAGAGAAUGCAGUUUAUCAUAAAGAUCUCAGCUGAACUGAUAGAGAUCGCAGAUUAUAAAGUUUAUGCAGUACAGGACUGAGCUGAACUUCAUUAAGAAAUACUGAACAAAGAACCUUACUAUGCUAUUUUCAGACUUGGUUUUCAGAGGGUAACUGAACAUUUAGCUACAUUAAGGCAUUUUUCUUGCCCUUAACAGAUGAGAUUUUUUUUUGUCCUGUCACCAGCUGGUGACCAGCUGAUGUCCUAGUUCAUGAAGAUAGCUUUUUUUUUUUGAUAGCUUUUAGUUCUGUGCAAUGUUGAGUCUUACAAAAUGUUAAUCUGACUUUAGCCUUACAUUGGAAUUUCUGAUAAAUAUUUUGCUGAAGUGAGUUUCUUGGGUUAACUAUCUCUUGCAAGAAUAACAAUGCCUGUUUUAAAAGUACUGUUUUUAAAUGUCAGACUACCUUCUGGUGCCUAUACUAUAGAAAUAAGUAUACCAGAAAUAAGUAUACUAGAAUAUGUAGCAUGCUUUCACUGCAUCUUCUAUUUUUUUGUUCACUACUUUCUGUUUUAAUUCUUAAUGUCUACUUCCAAAUAAUAGAAGAAUAAGCUCACCCACUACCUCUUCAUUGCUGUUCUUGUAUGGUUCUUUUGUAUUCAUGUAAUUUUCAGACUUUCUGCAAUGAGAUAACCCAAACUGAAAACAGUAUCCAGAGCACAGAUUUACUACUGCUUGAUAUAACGGCAUUAUAUAAUUUUCCAUAUUGUUUCUUCCUAUGUUUAUUGCCUUUUGAUGUCACUGCAUACCAUGAAGACAUCUUCAUUCCCCAAUCUAUAAUUGUGCAUAGAUCUUUUUUUCCAGGGCUCCACUAUGUGAUCUUUUUCACACAGUGCAUUAUUUCUAUGAAAUAUAACAUUAUACUGUACACUAUGAAGUGUACAUUGGUGUAACAUUAUCAUGUCAUGGUUCAGACCUCAAGAUUUCUACUUGCAGUUAGAAUUAUAUGGAAGUAUUUGUUUUAUUUGUCUUUGUGUGUGUGUGUGUGUGAUCAGUGAUAUAUAUGAAAUGUCUUACUGCUUACAGCU